GGAGUCGACAGCUAAUUACGUCAUCACUAACCUGCAGGCUGCGCUAGUCACUAGCGAGUGGCGCUGCGAGACAAUAAUAAAUAAAAAGACUGGGGCUGCGGUAAAAUAAUAAUAAUAAUAAUAAUAAUAAUAAAAAAGGUGGGGCUGUGGUAAUAUAAUAAAUAAAAAGAGUGGGGUUGCUGUGCGUGCAGGCAGUUUAGAACAACAUCCGUAUUUCAACCCAGUGGCAUGACAACACCGGCCCUCGCGGUCAAUAAACAGACCAGGAAUCCUCCCGGUGCUCCGAUCAGCCAACCCGGGCCUGGAGUGAAGACAGCUUACACUGGAUUUUAAGCUAGAACAGUUGCAGGAAACCUUGGGCUCUCUACUUUUUGAAAACUACUUAACUCUGGAAUAUUGUGCCCAGACUUUGAGGAGAGCAUCACCUGCUGGGAAUGAAGGAACACUGCAACCUUGCUUUAUGUAACUAAGGAUUAAGUGUCAAGAGCAGCAUACGCAUACACUCACUGAUCACUUUAUUAGGAACACCAUACUAAUACUGGGUAGGACUCCUCUUUGCUCUCAGAACAGCCUCAGUUCUUCAUGGCAUGGAUUCCACAACGUGUUGGAAACAUCUGGUCCAUGUUGACAUGAUCGCAAAAUAUUGCAGAUCUGUCAGCUGCACGUUGAUGUUGCAAAUCUCCCAUUCUACCACAUCCCAAAGAUGCUCUGCUGGAAUCAGAUCUGGUGACUGGGGAGGCCACUGAAGUAAGCAGCUACAGGGCGCUCUAUUUAAACAGCAUUAUUUAGAAACAAUUUACCUGUCAGGGAGGAGAAAUGUAAUUUAGGUAUUUGUACACUUUUAUCUGUUUGUAUUCCACAGUAAAGGCUCCUCAGCACCACUCACAGUAGGAUAGAGAGCUGGAAAAGCUAGAAAAAUUACACAGAUUAUACCAUGACCCAAACAAGUCGGCAAACUGAAGCAAGACCAGAUAUUUUUCAUUUCUUUUAAUUUAUGUAUCUGCCUUUCCCAGUUGUCAUAUUGGAAAUAAUUCCACAGUCCCUUAUAUAAGCAAUUAAAGCAGGAAAUAUCAGACUAUAAAGUGCCACAGGCCGGAAGUGAAUUUACAUACAAAUUUAAUUAGGGUAAAACUGCACUCCACAAUGCUGUUAAAUUCUCCUUUCUGUUUGGUCAGAAAGUAUUUAUCAAUUUUCUCUAACAGCAGCUCUGAAAAUAAUGCCAGCUGUAAGACGAAUCACAGGUUUAUAUUAACACACUCAUUCGUUUCUACAGUAACAACUUACACAGGGACUUAUCUGGUGGAUGCUGCACAUAAUGAAUUUAUAAAAUGUAUGUAAUCCGUGUUCUGGUGACGAUAUCUGUAAGGAAACGUUCAUUUAACAUUUAGGGAGUCUCUAGUAUCAGCUCUUUGUAACAGUCAGAAAUAAAGCUGUAAAUUUAAGUUUUCCCAUAUGGGAAUGUCAAGCAGUGAACUGUCUUAUUAACAUCUAGUGAAAGUGAGGGGACGAAUGUUUUGUAGUUACCAUAUUGUAUGUGGAAUCUAACUCGUUUUAUAGUCUUUCCACACGAUUAAAUGCCACUAUAAACUAACAGAAA